rnacentral:lncRNA from 1 species
GGUCAACAGUUCUCAGUUUUUGGUCCCUGAGGAGCAGCAUCAUCAUCACCUAGGAACUUGUUAGAAAGAUGCUCCUUGAAAUUUGAGAACUACAACUCCACCUCUUGGACUUGAGGAUGAGGAAGGCUUGGUCAGCUUGUUUAUUCCCUAAGGAUACUACAAGGAUACUCUAGUCAUCUUCAUAUAAAAUGAUCAAGGUGAAGAAAUAUAAAAUGAUCAAGGUGAAGAAAAUAACCAAGUUUCAGGUGACUCCACUGAAAAACAAGCCCCUGUGACUCACUUUAUCAUUGAGACCUGGCUAAGAAAUGGGUGUAAGGAAAAAGAGGCCCACUAUGACACCGUGACAGGCUAAAGAGCCUUUUGAAUGGAAACUACAUAAAGCAUCAAGCCCCUGAAAAGAAUGACCAGACAAAAGUGCCACAAUCAAUUGAAUGUCUUUAGGAGAUACACUUUUCUUUUAAAAAGCGUGACGCUUUGAUGACUCAGUGGCAGGACAGGUGACAAAGGAAUGGCUGCCUGGAGGCUGUGCAUGGCAGGAGGAGACACCACAGUCUUCCCGCCCUGCCACCCGUCCCUGCCGCCUGACUGUGGAAGGAUGAAGGACACUUUUAGAAAUUUCCCUGCGCGGAGAUGCCAGGAAACCAAUCAUCGCCCAGCCACUUUGUGGGGCCAUUAGCAGAGCGUCAAACUCCAUCUUUGUUUAAACGAAAGCACAAAGAAAAUAAUUUUUCAUCUGAGGAAUCACCUUAAGAUCCCCAAAUGGAAAGUAAGGGGAGCAGUAAACCUCUCACUCCGGGUGGGCAGCUCUAACACAGGGCAUUAAGGUAAGAAGGUUAUUUAUGACAGAAGAAAGGAGACAGGAUUCCAAAGUGGGAGACGAAGGACAGAGGUGAUUGGAGCCUAGCUUUAUCCCCUGCCCCAUUCAAAUGCGGAGGGCAAUGACUUCCAUAAGAAACCAGGUGCCACACGUGACCCAAAGGCAAAAGCCUCACUUUAACUCCUUGAUAUGGUCUGGCUGUGUUCCCACCCAAAAUCUCAUCUGGAAUUGUAGUCCCCAUAAUCCCUGUGUGUGUCAAGGGCAGAACCAGGUGGAGGUAAUCGGAUCAUGGGGGCGUUUCCCCCAUGCUGUUCUCGUGAUAGUGAGUGAGUCUCACGAGAUCUGAUGGUUUAAUAAGCGUCUGGCAUUUCCCCUGCUGGCACUCAUUCUUUCUCCUGCUGUCCUGCGAAGAGGUGCCUUCUGCCAUGAUUGUUAGUUCCUGAGGCCUCCCCAGCCAUGCGAACUGUGAGUCAAUUAAACUUGUUUUCUUUAUAAAUCACCCCGUCUCAGGUAUUUCUUCAUAGCAGCAUGAGAAUGGACUAAUAGGCUCCUCUUCCAGGUAAGUUAGGCAGAGUACGUUUCCUCCACAAAACAAAAGAUGGUUGCCUCAGAAUGCCUCCUAACUUUGCCUGCAAGAAGCCUGCAGUAAGACCUUUUCUUAGGGCCAGUCUGAAGGCCACACCCUCCCCUUAUCCCCUAAUUUUGGAUGCAAAAGGUCUCCCUGAGACUUCAGGUGAAGAGGAUUUGACUUUGGAAUCUGGGAUUCACUUUUCAGACUGACCUUCUGCUAUAUUUUGUUUUGCUUCUCUGGGAUUUCAAGCUUGAGAAUAGAGUAAGGAAAAAAGUUCUGUGUUCUCCUUUGGGAAAUUAUUUUCCCUGGUCCCCUUGGUCAGAGGGUAGCAGGUAAGUCUUGAUGGGAUUGUUCUGUGUUUCCAGGCUUCCCUCUGGAAUUAAUCUCAGAGGCAUGGAAGGGAGCCUGAUGGACUCUUCUGGGCUGUGUCCCAGUCAGGAAGCGAGAUCUUUCUAAUUCCCAGACAGGCCAGCGCUUUCUGCUGAACAGAGGCCUGCUAGACCCUGAGUAGGGGAAGCCCAGGCUGCUUCUGAGGCAAAUGAUGACCUUAAUCAUUUUCAGAGGUAUGGUUUUCACCUGGGAAGGGACGUGAGACGGCAACAAGGCAUUCAGUGAAUAUUUAUGAGUGAGCGGAAAAAACUCUUUCCUCCUGUACGUGGCAGAAAGGGUAGCUGGAAGCUGUGCCAAUGUAGGAGACCAGGAAUUCCUAGCCUGGGAGGAAGGAAGGGCAGGGAUGCAAAGGGACAGAGGGAGAAGAGGAAGCAAAUUCCAGCCAGGCUGGCUCUCCUAGGAGGAGUGGCAGUGAUGAAACCCUCUUCUUUAGACUCUGUCUUAGAGAAGGAUGGGGCCCGAAGAGGUUUCCUCUUUCAGCAAGUGUUGGGGUGUGUGUGUGUGUGCGGGGAUUUAAUCAGGGGAUCUACGAGCACAUUCACAGACCCUUAGCUACUAGUGCUGCCCAAUUCCAAGCAUGUUUAGCUUUAAGUACCUCUUGUCUGGUAAUCCAGGGCCAGAUAUCUGGAGGUGGGAACUGGCUGCCAUAGCCUGUUGCUCCCCACAAGGAUGAGGACAAGGGCUCCACUGGGCACCUUUCCUAGGCAUGGCCAGGGUUGUUAUAAAGCAUAGGGUGGGAGGGUGGUUGUGGCUUUCUGUGGUAUAGCUACUGAUCAAUGUAGCAUUUGAUUGAUCCAUUUUCUCCAGAGGAGAAGGGAGUGUGGUGGGAAAAUCCUGAGGCUGAGGAGGUGGAUACUUACAGGUCCUGGUCCAACUGACUGGGAUCUUAGGAUCACUCCCUUCUCCAACCUGAGUGGUUCCCCGCCUUUUUUUUUUUUUUUUUUUUUUUUUUGAGAUGUAGUCCCACCCUGUUGCCCAGGCUGGAGUGCGGUGGCAUGAUCUCGACUCACUGCAAGCUCCGCCUCCCGGGUUCACGCCAUUCUCCUGCCUCAGCCUCCAGAGUAGCUGAGACUACAGGCACCUGCCACCACGCCUGGCUAAUUUUUUGUAUUUUUAGUAGAGAUGGGGUUUCACCGUGUUAACCAGGACAGUCUCGAUCUCCUGACCUCGUGAUCUGCCUGCCUCGGCCUCCCAGAGUGCUGGGAUUACAGGCGUGAGCCACCAUGCCUGGCCAACAUUUUUUUUUUUUUUUUUUUUAAUUACAGAAUCAUCUGACAAAGGAACUCUUUUAAGGAGCCUUAACAUAUCAAAAGAUCAAGGCAGAGCCGCCCUCAUUGAAGGGUUUGGAGGACCUGGAGCUUACCCUCUUCUCUCCUUCCCUGACUGGGAG